rnacentral:tRNA from 1 species
GGCUGGUUAGCUCAGUCAGUUGAGCGUGGUGCUAAAAAUGCCAAAGUCGCCGGUUCCAUUCCCGUUCCGUCCC